rnacentral:rRNA from 1 species
CCUACGGGUGGCUGCAGUGGGGAAUCUUGCGCAAUGCGCGAAAGCGUGACGCAGCAACGCCGCGUGGGGGAAGACGGCCUUCGGGUUGUAAACCCCUUUCAGUUGGGACGAAGCUCAAGCGGUGAAUAGCCGCGUGGAGUGACGGUACCUUCAGAAGAAGCCCCGGCUAACUACGUGCCAGCAGCCGCGGUAAUACGUAGGGGGCCAGCGUUGCUCGGAAUUACUGGGCGUAAAGGGUCCGUAGGCGGUGUAGCAAGUCGAUAGUGAAAUCUCUGCGCUUAACGCAGAGGCUGCUAACGAAACUGCUGUGCUAGAGUGUGAGAGAGGCGAUUGGAAUUACGGGUGUAGCGGUGAAAUGCGUAGAUAUCCGUAGGAACAUCCGAGGCGAAGGCGGCUCGCUGGAUCACAACUGACGCUGAGGGACGAAAGCUAGGGGAGCA